UCCCAUAUGGUGUAGCGGUUUAACAUUACCGCCUUUCAAUUAACUGAUCAUUGUGCGCGGUAGCCCGGGGUUCGACUCCCCGUAUGGGAA